CCAGCCUACCUAGUACCUACUAAGAUUAGGUUCAUAGAUUAUACACUUAAUAUAUUAGGUUUUUAAUACCUAUUUAUGUGUAUGAAUUUAAUUCUUAUUGUAAACGGGAAUUUUUGUGUUUAUUCUUAUUUGUUUUUGUGAAACAACUGUAUUAGUGGUGAAAACAAUCAGUGUUUCGAGAACAGGUGAUCACUAUGGCAGUAAUGGCUAUCGGUCUGUAGGCCGCCCUGCCGAUCGUGCUUCAGGAAAGCGAAGUGCAGAGUUGGAGCACAGGAUGCCGAUCGCGCCGCGCGGUCCUCCGUUCCUCUUAACGCCCUACCAUCUCUUACACCGUAGAAGACCCAAUAUAACCCUCAAGUGCCCUUCAAUUAUAUAACGUAUAAAGUUUCCUACGCCUCUUUUACACCGACCUAUAAUUAUAGUUACGCACAGUGUCAGUGUUGUGUCUCGAGCGAGUGUAAGUGUAUAUGUGUGUCGAUGGUGCGGCCGACAUGGGAAAGUCCUCGGCGAGAACACAUGGCCAAG